rnacentral:rRNA from 1 species
GAUGAACGCUGGCAGCGUGCCUAAUACAUGCAAGUCGAGCGAACAGACGAGGAGCUUGCUCCUCUGACGUUAGCGGCGGACGGGUGAGUAACACGUGGAUAACCUACCUAUAAGACUGGGAUAACUUCGGGAAACCGGAGCUAAUACCGGAUAAUAUAUUGAACCGCAUGGUUCAAUAGUGAAAGACGGUUUUGCUGUCACUUAUAGAUGGAUCCGCGCCGCAUUAGCUAGUUGGUAAGGUAACGGCUUACCAAGGCAACGAUGCGUAGCCGACCUGAGAGGGUGAUCGGCCACACUGGAACUGAGACACGGUCCAGACUCCUACGGGAGGCAGCAGUAGGGAAUCUUCCGCAAUGGGCGAAAGCCUGACGGAGCAACGCCGCGUGAGUGAUGAAGGUCUUCGGAGCGUAAAACUCUGUUAUUAGGGAAGAACAAAUGUGUAAGUAACUAUGCACGUCUUGACGGUACCUAAUCAGAAAGCCACGGCUAACUACGUG